GGCGUGCCUUUUGCAUAAUGAACCUACGAGUUACUUUUUCCGGCAAGGUUAAGCAUCUUGAGAUGUGGAUCCGAAGCGAAAGCGAGUCUGAACAGGGCGGAUAGUCGGAAGGAGUAGACGCGAAACCAAGUGAUCUACCCUUGGGCAGGUUGAAGGUUAGGUAACACUAACUGGAGGACCGAACCGAUAAGCGUUGAAAAGCUUCCGGAUGACCUGAGGGUGGGGGUGAAAGGCUAAUCAAACUUGGAGAUAGCUCGUACUCCCCGAAAUGCAUUUAGGUGCAGCCUUGAGAGUUACUAAUGUGAGGUAGAGCGACUGAUAAGAUGCGAGGGCUUCACCGCCUAUCAAGUCUUGAUAAACUCCGAAUGCGCAUUAGUUCUAUCUCAGGAGUGAGGGCAUGGGUGCUAAGGUCCAUGUCCUAAAGGAGAAGAAUCCAGACCAUCAGCUAAGGUCCCCAAAUAAACACUAAGUUGAACUAACGAAGUCAGAUUGCUAAGACAGCUAGGAUGUUGGCUUGGAAGCAGCCAU
rnacentral:rRNA from 1 species